ACAUGGUCCUAGGUUGUAUAAGCAAGCUGAGUAAACUAUAGAAGACAAGCCAGGAAGUAGCUUUCUUCCAUAGCCUUUGCUUCUGUUUUUUGCCUAGUGCUCCUGUGAUGGACUUGCCUUUGUGAUGGACUGUGCCCUGGGAAUUAUAUAAUGAAAUAAAAUUUUUGGCUUCCCAAGCUGCUUUUCGUCAUGGUGCUUAUCACAACAAUAAAAAGCGAACUAGGAUAUCUUUGAUCAGAUGUAAAACUGGUGAAGACUUUUCUCUGAGGUUCAGCGAAUUGAGUCUUUAGUUGAGAUCUUUCAUCCAUCAACAUUCAGCUUUGUGCAGGGUAAGAGAUUAGUUUCAUUUUAGCUAUCCAGUUCCUCCAACACCAUUUGCUGAUGCUGUCUUUUCUCCAAUGUGUAUUUUUUUGUCUUUUCAUAAAAAAUCAGGUAGCUGUGUGAUUUGGAGAUUAUAUUUGGGUUCCUAGUUCUAUUCCAUUGAUCAAUGUUUUUACUCUGGUACUUAUGUUGGUUUUAUUACUCUAGCUCUGUAGUAUAACUUGAGUGCAGGAAUGGUGAACUCUCUAGCAGGGUUUUUUAUUACUCACAGUUGUUUUAGAUUUCAUGACUAUUUUGCAUGUGCAUAUGAAUUAUAAAAGUAUUUUUUCAAUUUCUGUGAAUAACUAUAUUGGAAUUUUUACAGGGCUUCAUUGAUACUAUAGAUUAUGUU
rnacentral:lncRNA from 1 species